rnacentral:rRNA from 1 species
AGAGCUAACGCAGGGAACUGAAACAUCUUAGUACCUGUAGGAAGAGAAAAUAAAUUAAUGAUUCCCCCAGUAGUGGCGAGCGAACGGGGAACAGCCCAAACCAGUGGCGUCGCAAGGCGUGGCUGGGGUUGUAGGACCGCGACAUUGUAUGCAAAUCGUGAACAGAACACUUUGGAAAAUGUGACCAUAGACGGUGAUAGUCCAGUAUGUGAAGCGAAAUGCAGCAUAGCGGUAUCCUGAGUAACGCGGGACACGAGGAAUCCUGCGCGAAUCUGCCGGGACCAUCCGGUAAGGCUAAAUACUCCCGUGAGACCGAUAGCGAACGAGUACUGUGAAGGAAAGGUGAAAAGAACCCCGAGCAGGGGAGUGAAAUAGUUCCUGAAACCAUGCGCCUACAAGCGGUCGGAGCACAGCAAUGUGUGACGGCGUGCCUUUUGCAUAAUGAUCCUACGAGUUACCGUCACUGGCGAGGUUGAGUACCAUGAGGUACGUAGCCGCAGUGAAAGCGAGCCUGAACAGGGCGCACAGUCAGUGGGGGUAGACGCGAAACCAAGUGAUCUACACUUGGCCAGGAUGAAGUCCCGGUAACACGGGAUGGAGGUCCGCACCAAUAAGCGUUGAAAAGCUUCUGGAUGAGCCGAGUGUAGGAGUGAAAGGCCAAUCAAACUUGGAGAUAGCUCGUACUCCCCGAAAGGCAUUUAGGUGCCGCGUCGGAUGGUCACCGUGAGAGGUAGAGCGACCGAUAGGACAAGAGGGCUUCACCGCCUAUCGAGUCCUGACGAACUCCGAAUGCUCACGGUCUGCAGUCCGGCAGUAAGGGGGCGGGUGCUAAGGUCCGUCCCCGAGAGGAGAAGAAUCCAGACCGCCGUCUAAGGUCCCGGAGUUCUGCCUGAGUUAGUCUAACGAAGUCUGGUCCCUAUGACAGCUAGGAUGUUGGCUUGGAAGCAGCCAUUCAUUCAAAGAGUGCGUAACAGCUCACUAGUCGAGGGUCCGGGCAUGGAUAAUAAUCGGGUAUAAGGCAGACACCGAAGGCGCGGGAUAGCAAUUAUGAAAGUAUCGGUAGGGGAGCAUACUCACAGCGUCGAAUGGUGUACGUAAGUUAUCCUGGAGCGGUGAGUAAAGCAAAUGUAGGAAUAAGUAACGAUAAGGAGGGUUAGAUUCCCUCCCGCUGUAAGACCAAGGUUUCCCGGGCAAUGCCAAUCAGCCCGGGGUCAGUCGGGUCCUAAGUCUAAGCCGAACGGCGAUGGCGAUGGCAGAGACGGUUAAUAUUCCGUCACUGCCGCAUGGGGCGACGUGGAGACGGAGCAGUGAAACCACCGCGGGGCGACGGAAGUCCCCGUUGAAGAGUGUAGGUGUUGAGGAUGGCAGGCAAAUCCACCAUCCGAGCUGAACUUGACAGUAUGGAGUCUUCUCCGGAAGAAUCCAAUAGUGUGGGUAAUCAUACUCCCGAGAAAAUCCGCUAAGCUUAACCCAUGCGGCACCCGUACCGCAAACGGACACACGUGGUCGGGUAGAACAUA